rnacentral:rRNA from 1 species
AACGCGAAGAACCUUACCGGGACUUGACAUUAUCUUGCCCGUCUAAGAAAUUAGAUCUUCUUCCUUUCGGGGAAGACAGGAUAACAGGUGGUGCAUGGUUGUCGUCAGCUCGUGUCGUGAGAUGUUGGGUUAAGUCCCACAACGAGCGCAACCCUUGUGCCUAGUUGCUAACUUGUUUUACAAGUGCACUCUAGGCAGACUGCCGCAGAUAAUGCGGAGGAAGGUGGGGAUGACGUCAAAUCAUCAUGCCCCUUACGUCCCGGGCUACACACGUGCUACAAUGGCCUGUACAGAGGGUAGCGAAAGAGCGAUCUUAAGCCAAUCCCAAAAAGCAGGCCCCAGUUCGGAUUGGAGGCUGCAACUCGCCUCCAUGAAGUAGGAAUCGCUAGUAAUCGCGGAUCAGCAUGCCGCGGUGAAUACGUUCCCGGGCCUUGUACACACCGCCCGUCACACCACGAAAGUUGGCGAUACCUGAAGUUACUAGGCUAACCCCGUAAGGGGAGGCAGGUACCGAAGGUAUGGCUAGCGAUUGGGGUGAAGUCGUAACAAGGUAACCUUAAUUAAAA